AUGGACAACGAUGCAUACUACUAUUUGUUAGUAGCUCUUUUUCCCCUUGUAUACUUGAUGAUGAUCUAUAGAGGUUCCCUUAACUCUAGCAAUGGCGCUCUUCGGCUCCCUCCUGGCCCAUGGCAGCUCCCUGUCAUCGGCAGCCUCCACCAUCUCCUAGGCGCCCUGCCACACCGUGCCUUACGGAACCUCUCUCAACGCCAUGGGCCUCUCAUGCUCCUCAGGUUCGGCGAGGUUCCGGUGAUCGUCGCCUCCACGGCGGAAGCUUCCAAAGAGAUCACCAAGACGUACGACCACAUCUUCUGCACUAGGCCGCUGAGCGCGUCCGCCAAGGUCCUCAGCGAGCGCGGCAAGGGGGUCGCGUUCGCCCCGUACGGUGGCGAAUGGCGGCAGCUUCGUAAGAUCUGCAUCCUGGAGCUGCUCGGCGCCAGGAACAUCACUUCUUUCCGGCCCAUCCGCGAGGAGGAGGUGACCCGGCUCAUCCGGUCCAUCGUCGACGACUCAUCCGAGUCGUCGGAGGUGGUGAACCUGAGUAAGAUGCUCGCCACAUACGUGACGCAUGCGACGGUGCACUGCAUCAUGGGUGGCCGGUUUAAGGAGCACGACACGUUGCUACACUAUGUCGAUGAGGCGGUCGAGGUCGUCGGUGGCUUCACCUUGCCCGACCUGUUUCCAUCGUCGAGGCUAGUGCGCGCCCUCAGCGGCACGUUGCACAGGGCCGAGGUGUUUCGAGACUCCGUGCUAGCGUUCAUUGGACACGUCAUCGAUGAGCAUCUCGACAGGAGAUCCUCGGAGGAAGCACACCAGGAACAAGACAUCAUCGAUGUCCUCUUGAGGAUCCAGAGAGAUGGCGACCUUCAGUUCCCCCUCACCAUGGACAACCUCAAAGUGGUGAUUUUCGAUCUUUUUGCCGCGGGGAGCGAGGCGCCAGCUACAAUUCUACAGUGGGCCAUGGCGGAGUUGAUGCGAAGGCCGAGCACCAUGUCUAGGGCACAAGCUGAGGUCAGGGGAGCAUUCAUGGGGCAAAAGAAGGUAACCGAGGAGGGUCUAGGCGAGCUGAGCUACUUGCAUUGUAUCAUCAAGGAGACCUUGCGAUUGCACCCACCUGGGCCAUUCUUGCUGCCCAAGCAGUGCCAGGAACAGUGCAAAAUUCUCGGCUACGACGUGCCCAAAGGCACUACGGUCCUGCUGAAUGCUUGGGCUAUCUCUAGGGACCCGGAAUACUGGGACGAACCGGAUGCAUUCGUUCCGGAUAGAUUCUUGGCUAGCGCGACAGACUAUAAAGGCAACUGCUUUGAGUUUAUACCGUUCGGCGCCGGGCGUCGGAUUUGCCCUGGGAUGCUGUUUGGGAUCGCCAUUGCGGAGCUUGCUCUCGCAAGCCUUCUUUUUCAUUUCGAUUGGACUCUCCCAGAUGGCACUUCUCCUGGUGAUAUUGACAUGACAGAGACCAUGGGAAUCACUGCUAGGAAGAAGGAGGAUCUGCAGUUGCAUGCGACUCUCCACCUACAGCCUGCGGAAACUUAG
rnacentral:rRNA from 1 species